UUGACACUUUGUCUCCUCCCAUUGGGGCGACUCCACCGGAUAAGAAAGGAAGCCCACAUGUUCAGACUGGUAGAAAUAAAGCUGGCCCAGGGUGCGAGCCAGGGCUCAGAGAAGCCGUGCCUGCUGCCAAGUCUGCUUUCGGUUUCUGGGCGUCUCCAUUUUGGGGACCCUAAGGUAUGCAGCGAAGUCUCUGAGACCUGAGCCUCUCAAGCGGCCACUUAGGGGCGGACAGAGGAGACAACAUUCUCAGCAUCCUGACUGGCGUGAACUAUGAUGUGAGCAAUAAAGACGACAGGAGGAACAAGGGAAAGCAGAUGCCACAGCCCUCCUUCACACUACGGAAGAAGCUCUUCUUCCCUCCCUACUGAUGUGUGCUCUCCACAGUUCACAUGGCUUAUCUGUGCACUUUUGUGUGGAUGAGUCUAAUUUAUUUUUUAGGAUUUCUUUUGCUUUUUAGGUUACACUUACAUCAUUUCCCCUUUUCCUCCCUUCAAAUCUUUCUAUGUAAUGUACCAAUUUCAAAUACAUGACCUCUUUUCUCAUUAAUUGUUGUACACACACACACACAUACACACACACACACACACACACGUUUUUAAAUAUAACCUACCCAGUCUGUAUACUA